AGAUGGGUGGAUGAACCAUCCCCCGCCCUUUGGGCAGAUGAAGGGUGACUGAACAACAACAGAAACGAAGACUCUUAGAGAGAAUGGGAGGAAAUCCUCUCACUAAAAAGAGAGACUUGCUCUCACUCUUUGCACUGCAUAAAAGUGUAUGGUUCAUGAAUCCAAUGUUGAACCAAUAACCAAUGAUAUAUAUGACAGCAGCAUAUCAGAAGGGUCUGUGUUGGACAGCUCCAUUCAUAAUUUUGAAUGUUUAGGCAAAGAGAUGGAGGCAACUUUCCUAGUAUUAUCAUCAUAUAAAGCUUCUAGUAUUAUAUAAAUCUCCACAUAUCGAUCCACUGAUUGAGAGGUCAGAGAAUUUUAAUCUGGCAUACAGAUAGCUCAAUGACGAAAAUCAAGCAUAGAAGAAAUUUGCAGAGUUACAAUAUCAAGUACCAUUGAGUUAAUAGAUAUAAAUUUUCUAAUUUAGAAUCGUUAAUCAGUUAGGUGCUUCAAAAAAUUUUCUCCCAUGAUAUAAAACCUGCAUUUAAAUGAAUGCCCUUAAAUUUCAAAUAUUGCAGCGCAUUACUCAGACGAAAUGGUGGUAGUGACCACAACCAAUAUAGUAGCAGCAGCAGUUGGCACAGGUUAAAGUUGAAUAAUGUAACUAAUAUUACAUUGAUUAAGUGCUCAUACAUUAUGUUUUGUGUAGCCAAAGAUAGGAAUGGAAGCUACUAUUAAUGUAACCAAUCACAACCACAUUGCAUUGCUCCCUUCAAUUUACCAAAUAUCUAACAAGAAACAAGAAAAAGAAACCACACAAAUUAUGCUAAAAAAAAUAUGCCGAUGACAAUAAUAAGAAAUAAAUGCUUCUCACUUACAUUGGCCGCCAAAUAUUCCAGUUUACAACUUUGCAGCUCCAAGUGAGGGACUGGUUGAACUCAAAAACCACAAGCCAAAAUUACAAACUUGAGGUUGUAGAACUAAAAACCUUUAUAUAAGAAAUUUGAAAAGGGAAGAGGAAAAAACACAAGAGCUAGUUAGAGCCAAGGAUCAUGAAGUGGGAAAACAGAGAGCAAAUCCACAAUUUAUAAGCCAUAAAGCAACAAAAAGAAAUAAUAAAGAAACUGAUUAGUGGAAACAUAACACGCUUGUGUUUUAUAACAGUCUUACAUGCCAAUGUUUCUUUGCUUUCUAUCUCUCGCCAAAAUUACCUUACGAAUACAGCCUCAAAAUUGCACUAUCUAAUAACCUAUAACUCAUAAAGACCAAAAGUAGACACAACUCAUUGUGCCCAUGUUGUACAUAUUUACUACUACACUUGCAUGUGAAUGGAACUAUGGCAGACGUGAACCAAUUUAGAUCGCAAAACAUCUCAAGCAGUCAGUUUCUGUGAAGAAUUAACAGCACCCAAAUGCUUGAGGUGUAAUGUGGCCAACAAGCCUUGCCAAGUUUCUCCAGGUGCACCUGCCACUUGAAAGUCAACCAGUUUCUUUUGUUUCCUAUAGUAAUCUUCCAAUGCCUUACCCUGAAGAGAAGAAAAAAAAAUCUCAUCAGCAAAAUUUCAAAUUUCAUUCACCCUUUUUCAUUAACUAGUGAGCUUCAAUUUUUAUCAUAAAAGGCAGCAGACAUGAUACAGUCGUUAUUGAACCACAGAGAAGGGGGAAAACGAGGAAGUAGCUGAAGUGGCUAUCCUUUCAAAUGACAUAAUUCAUCUCACCUACAAUCUUAAUCCAAGAAAAAUAACUAACAAGUAACAAGGAACUCAGGGACGUCACAGACAAGCAUUUGAAAGUUAACACCCACUAAGUCACAUGAGUUAGAUCAGGAAAAUCUCCGAAGAAUAUAAAAUACAAGAUCUUUAAAAUCUGUAAAAAGACAUCAUUAUAAAGCAAUUUUCUAUUAAAGGUGGAAAAUACAACAAUUAUAUAUAAAGAGAAGGAUGCCAUAGUUUACAAUAUUAACAAGCAUUUCUGCAACAAGAUACUCGGAACAAUUUGAUAAUAACAUAUCAAUCAUCAUACCUCGGGUUUUAAAUUAUACUAUAAAACAAGAUAAUAUAUAAUACCUGUUCUGCAUAUAUACGGAACUUUUCCUUCAAGGCACUUCCAGCAUCAGUCACAGAGGACAUAGAGUCAACAGUAAGAAAAUCCCUCUUCACCAAGUUGUCUUUAGUACAUUUAAAAUUCACAACUAGAUCAAUAUCAGCAAUUUGAUCAAGAAUUUCCUGCAAAAGGGGGAAAAAAAAUCCACGAAUGUUAAUAAUGUACAGAAAACAUAAGUACAAUGCAACUACUGAGCUUUACUACUGUUCCAAUUGUAAUGAUCAAAACAUACAAAUCUAUAAUCACGAAGAGGAACAAUAAAUGCAUAUGCAUUAACCAAGUUAGAAAACAUUGAGACAUACAGCUUGAAUUCUUGUUCGAGGAAUGCCAUCCAAAAUGAAGCCAGUUUCGCCUCUGCAGUAACCUUCUUCAAGCCUCUUGGACAACAACCCAAAAAUUACUUCCUCUGGUACUAGCUUUCCUUCAUGCACCGCACUUGCAAUCUGUAUGUAGAGAGAAGAGCUAGGGUUAUACGCUUGGCGAAGGAGGGUACCCAUGGAAAUG
rnacentral:misc_RNA from 1 species